GCCCCGCCGUGAUCCGAUAUGACGGGUCCCCUUAUAACAAGAGGAAAUUACGACGCAGACACACAGAAGGAGCACAUGAGGGGAGACGCAGCGAGGCGCGGAGAGGAAGGGGGUAUGGAGACGGAGGAGGCACUGGGCUGACCUGUCCGUGAGCCGAGGGCUGCCCGAAGCACGUACCCCGCAGCCACCAGACGCCGGAGAGGCUGGUGGUGCCUCCCUCACUCUGGGAGAACCAACCCUGCGGACGCUGAUUCCUGGGUCCGGCCUGCGGGUCUGGACUGCAGACAGCGGGGUGAGUGUGCAGCCGUGCACAGUCCACCCUCGGAAGCCUGCUUCUCCAGACCCGACGCCUUCACACUGUGCAAAAGAUGACCUGCCUUUGACCUUCGCUGCUCCCGCCGACCUUGACGAGGCGUUCAAGAACCAGACCUUCACUUUUAGCACCCCCUCCGCCAUCUAAUCCUGCGUUCUGAUACACUAGACCAGUGAUGGCGAACCUUUUGAGCUCGGCGUGUCAGCAAUUUGA